rnacentral:lncRNA from 14 species
AUUAACUUUUUUUCCUGAGGUAGGUUCUUGGUACAUAAUUCAAGCAGGUCUUGGACUUGUGAUCUUCCUGCUUCAGAUUCUGAAGUUCAGAGGAUACAGGUAUCUAUCACUCGCUGCACCCAGCACGGGUAGCAGGAUUUACUUUAUGAAGGUCCAAAGUUGACAUUGGCUACCUUUCUUCAGUCACUUUUUCUCUUAUUUUUGGAAAGUAUAUCAACUUACUGAACCUGAAUCUUUUAUUUGGCCAGACUGUCUGGCAAGGCCCAGAGUUCCUUCUUCUCUCUUCCUCCCCAGUGUGUGGACUACAGAAGAUGUGUGCUACUACAUCCAUAAUUCCUUUUUUAAAUUUUUUUUUGAAAUAGAAUAUUUUAUAGCUCUGGCUCUCCCUGGAACUUGCUGUGUAGACCAGGCUGGCCUUGAAGUUGGAGAGACCCACCUGCUGCUGCUGGGAUUAAAGUGUCUGAGACUGCUCCAGCACCGCAAUGACCAUGGAGUUACAUAGUUGCAAUCAAGACUUGAUAGCCCACAAAAUGGUGUAAUGUAGCUUAGGAUGGCCUUAAAUUCCUGAGUAGAAGCCACCACGUCUGACUUAUGCAGUGAUGAAGAGUAAACCCAAGACUUUAUGCAUGCCACGCACAAACAUUCUGUCAACUAAGCUACAUUCCCAGCCAGGUGCAGGAUUUCACCUCAGGGAGGUCCACACUCCAAAGCCUACUCUCAACUGGAGAGGAGUAUGAUCACAACACAUACCAUACAUAUGCAUGUAUGGAUACAUGUAUACACACAUACAUAUAUAUGAACUUGUCAUUAAAUAAAGUAAAAAAAAUUUU